CCCCCCCCCCCCCCCCCCCCCCCCCCCCCCCCCCCCCCCCCCCCCACCCCCCCCCCCCCCCCCCCCCCCCCCCCCCCCCCCCCCCCCCCCCCCCCCCCCCCCCCCCCCCCCCCCCCCCCCCCCCCCCCCCCCCCCCCCCCCCCCCCCCCCCCCCCUUCCCCCCCCCCCCCCCCCCCCCCCCCCCCCCCCCCCCCCCCCCCCCCCCCCCCCCCCCCCCCCACCCCCCCCCCCCCUCCCCCCCCCCCCCCCCCCCCCCCCCCCCCCCUUCCCCCCCCCCCCCCCCCCCCCCCCCCGCCCCCCCCCCCCCCUCCCCCCCCCCCCCCCCCCCCCCCCCCCCCCCCCCCGUUCCCCCCCCCCCCCCCCGCCCCCCCCCCCCCCCCCCCCCACCCCCCCCCCCCCCCCCCCCCCCCCCCCCCCCCCCCCCGCCCCCCCCCCCCCCCCCCCCCCCCCCCCGCCCCCCCCCCCCCCCCCCCCCCCACCCCCCCCCCCCCCCCCCCCCCCCCCCCCCCCCCCCCCCCUCCCCCCCCCCCCCCCCCCCACCCCCCCCCCCCCCCCCCCCCCCCCCCCCCCCCCCCCCCCCCCCCUCCCCCCCCCCCCCCCCCCCGCCCCCCCCGCCCCUUUUUAUUCCCCCCCCCCCCCCCCCCCCCCCCCCCCCCCCCCCCACCCCCCACGCCCCCCCCCCCCCACCCCCCCCCCGCACCCCCCCCGCCCCCCCCCCCCCCCCCCCCCCCCCCCCCGCCCCCCCCCCCGCCCCCCACCCCCCCGCCCCCCCCCCCCCCCCGCCUCCCCCCCCCCCCGCCCCCCCCGUCCCCCCCCCCCUCCCCUUCUAUCCCCCCCCCCCCCCCCCCCCCCCCCCCCCCCCCCACCCCCCCCCCCCCCCCCCCCCCCCCCCCCCCCCGCCCACCCCCCCCCCGCCCCCCCCCCCCCCCCCCCCCCCCCCCUGAGAUUCCCCCCCCGACCCCCCCCCCCCCCCCCCCGCCUCCUUCCCCCCCCCCCUCCCUCCCCCCCCCCCCCGCCCCCCCCCGCCCCCCCCCCCCCCCCCCCCCCCCCCCCCCCCCCCCCUCCCCGCCCCCCCCCCCCCCCCCCCUCCCCCCCCCCCCCCCCCCCCCCCCACCCGCCCACCCCCCCCCCCCCCCCCCCCCCCCCCCCCCCACCCCCCCCCCCCCCCCCCCCCCCCCCCCCCCCCCCCCCCCUCCCCCCGCGCCCCCCCCCCCCCCCCCCCCCCCACCCCCCCCCCCCCCCCCCCCCCCCGUCCGCUCCACCCCCCCCACCCCCCCCCCCCCCCCCCCCCCCCCCCCCCCCCCCAAGCCCACUCCCCCCCCUCCCCCCCACCCACCCACCCUCCCCCCCCCCCCCUCUCCCCCCCCCUCCCCCCCCCCCCCCCCCCCCAGCCCACCCCGCCCCCCCCCCCCCCCCCCCCCCCCCCCCCACCACCCCCCGCGCCCCCCCCCCCCCCCCCCCCCCCCCCCCCCCCCCUCCCCCCCGCCCCCCCAGCCCCCCCCCCCUCCCCCCCCCCCCCCCC
rnacentral:lncRNA from 1 species